AAGCUUUUAUUUAUUUUUUAUGCACAAACAAUAAUUUUCUUUCUUUAUUUAUUUAUUAUUUUUAUAAAUUAUUUAUUAUAUAAUUUGCGUAUUUAAAUAACAACUCAUUUUGAACCUAUUUUUGGACCACCCCCAGCCCAAUUACCUAAAUAAAUAGCCUAAUUCCUUAGUCCAAAACCCACUAGCCCAAUCCCAAUACCCGUUUCUAUACCCGACCCAAUCUCUCUUAAAUACUGGCCGUUGAUCUUUCAAGAUCAAUGACCCUUAUUUAUUCCCUCAUUUAAAAUUAGCCGCCCCAACCCUAUAGUACCCUCAUUCCCUAAACAUCGCAUCCCCUAGAUGCUCUCUCUUCUUCUUCUCCUCUGUGGAAACCCUGUCGUCGUCACUUAUUAACCCUGCGAUUCCAACCCAAAAUGUAAUGAGUCAAUGAUUCCCUUAUCUUGUUGACCCUCUCACUCCUGGUUACUCGCCUAUGUUGUUACAUAAUUUCUUGUUUAAUAUGGAAAGCAUAUUUCGUUAAUUUUGAACCAAAUCUGGUUCAAAUCUUUUACCUCUUUCCAUUUGUGUUCGUUUUCAUUUCUUUUUGGUAUGAAUCUAUGAGUUUCUUUGCGAUUUUCUACUUAUUGUAAAACUAAGGUUCAACUCUUUGUAUAUCUUAUCUGAUUCUCGAUUCUUUAAUUAUUUUUCCUGUGAUGUUUUCGUCAAUCUGUCUUUGGGCAUCUUAUUAUAACUCUCUUUGUUAACUUCUGAUUGACUUUUACUUUCCUUAAAUUUAGGGGUUUUUGAUUCUUCAAAAUCAAACAAAAUUUGUUCGAUUCUUUAAUUAUUGUGUUAAUGUCUCUAUCUAUAUACAUCUCUUUACUUGUUAGUUCUGCCAACUAUGUACGUUUUACCUAAACUAGAGUUUCGAGUUUUUCUUUCCUUACUAACUCUUAGGUAAUUUCCUUUCUAGUACUUCGAGUAAUUAUUUCUAUAUUUUUGUGCUCUAAUUUAGUGCUAUUUAAACCUAUCCCCUUUCCCCUUUAGAGGCAAAGCUCGAAAUAUUCUCACCACAUAAAUAAUACACUGUUAUUAUUCAGUGUUUUGAAGACAAUGCCAUAAAUCUCUAUUGUUUGCUUAUGUUGGUAACCAUAGGUACAUUGCUAGAUUCUUUUCCGUUUCAUCUGAAUUGGUGAGUUAUUUAAUUAUUUGUUACUUUAUUACUCAUUUAAUAUGUUACUGUUAUUAGACUAGUUAUUUUUUGUGUUCAAAACGUAUUGAACUUAUUGAACUAAUUGAUGGAAUCUGCUUAAUUUUGGGUAACUUAGGAUUAACUUUUAGCAUUACGCACGUUUUGAUACAUUUCCUUAAGAACUAGUUAAUUAUAUAUGUCUUAGUAGAUUCAUUAGCCUGAUGUUGAAUAUGUUUCCAUGUUACUUGUCUGCUCGUGUGACAACAAGGUUAGGAUACAUUUGUUAAACUGUUACAGCUAAUAAAUGUUUUCCUGACUUAUUAGCUCCCCUUCUGUGACUUAGCCUGAUAUGAAAUCUUUGUCAUCUUUGUGAAGCAUGAACUGAUCUUUAUUAGUAAGUUACUUUGUCAACUUUCAAAACAUUAUCAAAUCUGCUUAGUUUCAAAUGUGUUUGUUCUAUCUGUGAUUCUAUCCCGACAUGCGCUCUCCAAUCCGGUCAUUCUCUCUUAAAUUCUCACUCUUUGCUGUGUGAAAGCAAAAAAUAUUUAAGUACUAUUCCCUGGCCUUACUGGUGUGACCACUGCUCAAGGUUCAUAUGAGACCCUUGUGAACUCUGACAUACCAGGAUUUUGUUAAUAGUUUUCCAUGAAUUGUUCUGAUCAUUCCUCUCUAGUAUGAGCACUGCUCGCGGUUCUUGAAAUCUUUGGGAACUCUGACACACUAGAGAUUUGGACUUCGUAUACUUAUCCUUGAGAUAGAGGUUAUUCAUUCAUUGUUGGUCACUAUGUAUCAAUGAACAUGGGCUUUUUGAAUUAUUGUAAGUUGAAGGCAUGGCAUGUCCAGUCGCAUUUGGGCAUGCUGCAGGCUUCCUAUAGUUAUAUACCUUGUAAUUCAUUCAUUUGAUUCCGAUCUGUAAUAAUUAUUUGUAAUAAAAAUUGGGGCAAUAAUAAAUUGGGAAAUGGGCUUAUUUUUUAUAUUUUGCAUGAAAUGGGUAAAUAACUUGCCUAUAUGUGUUUACUUUGUACUAUUAUAUGUUAGAUAAUUCACCUAUAAGCUUUACUUUAUUCAGAACAUUAUGCCAUUGUAUGUUAGAAGACUUGCCUAAAUGUUUACUCUGUCUGUUAAGGGUUUACUUUGGCUCAAAUAUGCUAUGUAAAUAACCUACCUAUAAGGAUU
rnacentral:lncRNA from 1 species